GAAAAGAAUGCUAAUACCGCAUAAUAUAUAUUUAUCGCAUGGUAGAUAUAUCAAAGAUUUAUCGCUUAGAGAUGGACUCGCGUCCGAUUAGUUAGUUGGUGAGGUAACGGCUCACCAAGACCGCGAUCGGUAGCCGGACUGAGAGGUUGAACGGCCACAUUGGGACUGAGACACGGCCCAGACUCCUACGGGAGGCAGCAGUGGGGGAUAUUGCGCAAUGGGGGAAACCCUGACGCAGCAACGCCGCGUGAAGGAUGAAGGUCUUCGGAUUGUAAACUUCUUUUAUUAAGGACGAAGAAAGUGACGGUACUUAAUGAAUAAGCUCCGGCUAACUACGUGCCAGCAGCCGCGGUAAUACGUAGGGAGCAAGCGUUGUCCGGAUUUACUGGGUGUAAAGGGUGCGUAGGUGGCUUUGCAAGUCAGAUGUGAAAUCUAUGGGCUCAACCCAUAGCCUGCAUUUGAAACUGCAGAGCUUGAGUGAAGUAGAGGCAGGCGGAAUUCCCCGUGUAGCGGUGAAAUGCGUAGAGAUGGGGAGGAACACCAGUGGCGAAGGCGGCCUGCUGGGCUUUAACUGACGCUGAGGCACGAAAGCGUGGGUAGCAAACAGGAUUAGAUACCCUGGUAGUCCACGCUGUAAACGAUGAUUGCUAGGUGUGGGGGGUCUGACCCCUUCCGUGCC
rnacentral:rRNA from 1 species